UGGGACUCACUCGGGAGGAGGGAGGGUCCUCCAGAGCUGUGCAUGUUGGGCCUAUGGAGGGCGGGACUGGAGACGUCGGGCGGGUUUUAACCUGCUUCCCCAGCUUAGCUCACUGAACAAGCUUGUCUUUCCUCCUCGACCUGUGAUGCCAAAUCCUACUAAAAUCCAGGCCGCCCUGCCUGCAGCCUGCAGGUAAACAGGUCAGAGAUGUGUUGAAACGGCUCGUCUGAGUACUUUGUGCCCAGCGCUUACGGUGCGGUGCUUCCGGGUGGAUUCUAGCAGGCGCUUGGCCUGCGGCCCUGCCAGACGUCGGCGUCCUGGGCCGUUGCUGACCCCCUACCUGAGUCACUGCCUCAACAGCCAGUGGUCGCUCAGACUCACGCCAUGAUCACGGGCUGACCGGCUCAGGAUCACUUCUGGCACCCUGCUACUUACUCUAAAACACACCCUAUCAAGUUCUUUCGGUGAUGGCAAACUUUUGGUCUUGGUCUAAAUCCAACUUUACCUGGCUCUUGAAUAUUGUAGCUCACUGUGUAAGAUUUGAUGGACAGUUACUUUCUGUUACCAUUGAAAACAAUCUCACUGGCCUCAGCGAUCCCUAUCGUCGAUGGGAAGUCUUUAAAAUCUAAUUAUCUUUCAUUUUUAAAAUGGACUCUUAAUACUUGUGCACAAUGGGGAACAGUGUGACAUUUUGAUACAUUAUAAAUUGUGAAAUGAUUGAA